rnacentral:rRNA from 1 species
AACCCCUAUUGUUAGUUGCCAUCAUUCAGUUGGGCACUCUAGCGAGACUGCCGGUAAUAAACCGGAGGAAGGUGGGGAUGACGUCAAAUCAUCAUGCCCCUUAUGACCUGGGCUACACACGUGCUACAAUGGUUGGUACAACGAGUUGCGAGUCGGUGACGGCGAGCUAAUCUCUUAAAGCCAAUCUCAGUUCGGAUUGUAGGCUGCAACUCGCCUACAUGAAGUCGGAAUCGCUAGUAAUCGCGGACUCAGCACGCCGCGGUGAAUACGUCCGGCCUU